AAACUUAAAGGAAUUGACGGGACCGCACAAGCGGUGGAUGAUGUGGUUUAAUUCGAUGCAACGCGAAAAACCUUACCCACCUUUGACAUGUACGGAAGUUGCCAGAGAUGGCUUCGUGCUCGAAAGAGAGCCGUAACACAGGUGCUGCAUGGCUGUCGUCAGCUCGUGUCGUGAGAUGUUGGGUUAAGUCCCGCAACGAGCGCAACCCUUGUCAUUAGUUGCUACGAAAGGGCACUCUAAUGAGACUGCCGGUGAUAAACCGGAGGAAGGUGGGGAUGACGUCAAGUCCUCAUGGCCCUUAUAGGUGGGGCUACACACGUCAUACAAUGGCUGGUACAAAGGGUUGCCAACCCGCGAGGGGGAGCCAAUCCCAUAAAGCCAGUCGUAGUCCGGAUCGCAGUCUGCAACUCGACUGCGUGAAGUCGGAAUCGCUAGUAAUCGUGGAUCAGCAUGUCACGGUGAAUACGUUCCCGGGUCUU
rnacentral:rRNA from 1 species